GUUAAAUGUGCUGCUCUUCAACCUCUGUGCACUGCAGAAGGAUUCUGCUCAUGGACAUCAGUGCUGCUGGAAUGCUUCCAGACCUCCAGGAGGAAGAAGGUGGAAAUGCAAUGAAAAUGGAGUUGCUGUUGCAGGGAGGGAUGAUAUGGACCAUCACAUCCCUGCGUUGUUGGGUUAACAGCAUUGCCCAAUACCAGAUUCCAGUCGGAAAAAUGAGAUAUUCCAUCUUCACUGGCCUGGUGUCAAGGACUCAAAUGUUAUGGUGUGAGGUGAAGGCAAAAAAAGUAGCUCAUAGGUUUAUCCAGACAUUUUCAGAAAGAAAAAAAUACAACGGAGCUUGAUCAAUAGUUCACUUUCAGAUUGUUGAAAGAAGCUGCUAAAAUUGCCUGUGUUUUUCUGGAAAAGGUAACUGAGCUUCUAAGAGAAGAGAAGGUUUAAAAGAAGUAAAAAAUGUUACCAUAGAGAUGGGCAAAAGAACCAAGAACACUAUAUGAGAGGUUGGUUUUUUUUUGCAAGUCUCAGUUGGCUGGAGGACCCCAACUACUUAAGAGCUGUAUUGGUGCACAUCCAUUGUGACUUAAUAUUCUAUUAUUUAUUGAUUACUGAAACACAGAAUGUGAGCUUCACACCCCUUUUCCUCACUGUUGGAUUUCUGUCUAUCUGUGUAAUUAAUAUAAAUCUUAGGGUAUAAUGCUUUGUCCUAAGUUGUUCAUUUCUAUGGGUUUUUCUUCUAAUUGCUUAUUCCCCGAUUGCUCUUCUUUUAUUCAUAUUCUUACAGUAUUCUCAUUGUUAUUCAUUUUCCUCUAAGCAUUAAAAUAGAUUCACUGUUACCAUGGUGGGUACUGUUAUAUAGGCUCAACUAAAAGAUGCUGAGGUUUUAGUUCCUUUAGCUCUCUGGUGCAUUUUAUAUUUUCUUAAAAUAUUUUUAACCAAUAAGUCUAAUUUCACAACAUCCUCUUUGUUACUAUAAAUAAAGCUAGCUCCAAAAGUUAC
rnacentral:lncRNA from 1 species